rnacentral:rRNA from 1 species
UACGAAGGGGCUAGCGUUGCUCGGAAUCACUGGGCGUAAAGCGCACGUAGGCGGACUCUUAAGUCGGUGGUGAAAUCCUGGAGCUCAACUCCAGAACUGCCUUCGAUACUGAGAGUCUCGAGUCCGAGAGAGGUGAGUGGAACUGCGAGUGUAGAGGUGAAAUUCGUAGAUAUUCGCAAGAACACCAGUGGCGAAGGCGGCUCACUGGCUCGGUACUGACGCUGAGGUGCGAAAAGCGUGGGGAGCGAACAGG